GUGUUGCGUGAAAGGAGGCACGGUUAGCAGUCCCCUGACAACGAAGGAAGAAGACCCCAGGCCUGACAACACACAUACUGUUAAGGCAUUGCCACCUACUUUGUGGCAUCUAACCAUUGUUUUUU
ensembl:snRNA